rnacentral:rRNA from 1 species
CCUACGGGUGGCUGCAGUGGGGAAUAUUGGACAAUGGGGGGAACCCUGAUCCAGCGACGCCGCGUGAGUGAAGAAGUAUUUCGGUAUGUAAAGCUCUAUCAGCAGGGAAGAAAGGAAUGACGGUACCUGACUAAGAAGCCCCGGCUACCUACGUGCCAGCAGCCGCGGUAAUACGUAGGGGGCAAGCGUUAUCCGGAUUUACUGGGUGUAAAGGGAGCGUAGACGGUUACGCAAGUCUGGAGUGAAAGGCGGGGGCCCAACCCCCGGACUGCUUUGGAAACUGUAUAACUGGAGUGCAGGAGAGGUAAGUGGAAUUCCUAGUGUAGCGGUGAAAUGCGUAGAUAUUAGGAGGAACACCAGUGGCGAAGGCGGCUUACUGGACUGUAACUGACGUUGAGGCUCGAAAGCGUGGGUAUCGAACAGGAUUAGAUACCCGAGUAGUC